CGGCCAAUUCAUGGCAGGGUGACAACGCACACUGGCGGCUCCGUUCCAUUUGCUGCAUAUGCGAAACGGAUGGCUGCGUCUCUUGGACGUGAGCCGAGCCUGAUGGAGCUGUUUGUGGAGACGCACAUGCGGAGUCAAGACCGCCAGAAGGGGGUGCAAUAGUUCGUUGAUAACCGUGCUCAACAUUUCGUGGAGACCUAUAAUAAUCGGUUGAGGGAGAGAUAUGG